rnacentral:rRNA from 1 species
AAGGGUGCGUAGGUGGUUUUAUAAGUCAGCGGUGAAAGUUUGCAGCUUAACUGUAAAAAUGCCGUUGAAACUGUAAGACUUGAGUGUAAAUGAGGUAGGCGGAAUGCGUGGUGUAGCGGUGAAAUGCAUAGAUAUCACGCAGAACUCCGAUUGCGAAGGCAGCUUACUAAGCUACAACUGACACUGAAGCACGAAAGCGUGGGGAUCAAACAGGAUUAGAUACCCUGGUAGUCCACGCAGUAAACGAUGAUUACUAGCUGUUUGCGAUACACAGUAAGCGGCACAGCGAAAGCGUUAAGUAAUCCACCUGGGGAGUACGCCGGCAACGGUGAAACUCAAAGGAAUUGACGGGGGCCCGCACAAGCGGAGGAACAUGUGGUUUAAUUCGAUGAUACGCGAGGAACCUUACCCGGGUUUGAACGUAGGGAGACAGGGGUGGAAACAUCCUU